rnacentral:lncRNA from 1 species
GUUUUCCCACUGGCCUGCGUUCAGCCUUGGGACUGUUUUCAGAGAGGAGGAGGAGAUAACAAGGAAUUCAGAAACACACGUAAACCAAGGUUAUGAGUUCAGUUGACAAGAAUGUUGGGACCAGAGGCUGACAGGAACCUAAUCCUGUAUUUCCGGUCUGCCAGAAGGCUUUGGUGGAGAGAAAUGGGAAUGUGGGUGUGGAAAGGAGAGUUCAGCAAGAGAAGGCAAAUCUACUUGGAACUAUUUUGGGUUCAGCGUGGGCCUGAUUCUUUGUUCACUCUGCUCCAUUCCUCACGGUUUCCCUAUUGAUGGGAGAUUACUAAUGAAUGAAGAUAAGAACUAAAUGAAAGUGGCUUUUAAAAAAAUUAAAUGACUUUGUCUCCACUGUA